rfam:Schistosoma curassoni strain Dakar, Senegal genome assembly, scaffold: SCTD_scaffold0001244
AUCCAAAUGACGAGUCCAAAAUAGGACAAGACGCGAGUCUUGGAU